rnacentral:lncRNA from 1 species
GAACGCCCUGUCCCUUGCUGACCCCAUUGAGGCAUGCACCGUCUGCAAAGCCCAGUGCCUGUCCCUGCCUGGGAAGCCUGCCCUGCAGUCCGGCCUGGCUCCCCGAAUGCAGCCCCUUCCUGGGCGCUCCUGCCUGUGGUUAAACGGGGUACAUCCUUUCUUUUGACCCUGAGAAACCUGACCAGCUGGACGGCACGGAUUCCUGACAUUUUUAUGAGCAUUUUUCCUUUCCUUCGCUCCCUCCACCAGGAAUGCCAGACUGCCCCGUCUCCACCUGCUGAUAAUGUUUAAGGCCGUCCCAGUGCCACCCCUACAAGGAGCCUUUCUGCAUGCAGCCCUCCAAGCAGACGUGACCUCCCUCUCCUCUGAACGUGGAACGCUUGGAGCACCUUCCGCGUGGCUCUCGCAUCUGCCC